UAGUGUUACAGCUCUUUUAGAAUUUGUCUAGCAGAUUUUCCAGUUCUUUCCCGGAACCGC
rnacentral:snRNA from 1 species